rnacentral:rRNA from 1 species
UACGGGGGGAGCAAGCGUUGUUCGGAUUUACUGGGCGUAAAGGGCGCGUAGGCGGCCACCGCAAGUCGAUUGUGAAAUCUCCGGGCUUAACCCGGAAAGGUCAACCGAUACUGCGGGGCUAGAGUGCAGAAGGGGCAACUGGAAUUCUCGGUGUAGCGGUGAAAUGCGUAGAUAUCGAGAGGAACACCUGCGGCGAAGGCGAGUUGCUGGGCUGACACUGACGCUGAAGCGCGAAAGCUAGGGGAGCGAACGGG